rnacentral:rRNA from 1 species
GCGAACGCUGGCGGCAGGCCUAAUACAUGCAAGUCGAGCGGUCCCUUCGGGGGCAGCGGCGGACGGGUGAGUAACGCGUGGGAACGUGCCCUUUGGUACGGAACAACUGAGGGAAACUUCAGCUAAUACCGUAUGUGCCCUUCGGGGGAAAGAUUUAUCGCCAUUGGAGCGGCCCGCGUUAGAUUAGCUAGUUGGUAGGGUAAAGGCCUACCAAGGCGACGAUCUAUAGCUGGUCUGAGAGGAUGAUCAGCCACACUGGGACUGAGACACGGCCCAGACUCCUACGGGAGGCAGCAGUAGGGAAUCUUGCGCAAUGGGCGAAAGCCUGACGCAGCCAUGCCGCGUGAAUGAUGAAGGUCUUAGGAUUGUAAAAUUCUUUCACCGGGGACGAUAAUGACGGUACCCGGAGAAGAAGCCCCGGCUAACUUCGUGCCAGCCGCCGCUGUAACAC